ensembl:miRNA
UAUGGCUUUCUAUUCCUAUGUGAUUUUUUCUACUGUCACAUAGGGUCCAAAGCCAUUG